rnacentral:rRNA from 1 species
AGAGCUCGAUCCUGGCUCAGGGUGAGCGCUAGCGGCGUGCUUAAUGCAUGCAAGUCGAACGGUCCCGAGUUCGCUCGGGGCAGUGGCAAACGGGUGAGUAACACGUGGCUAACCUGCCCUUCAGUGGGGGACAACCUGGCGAAAGCCGGGCUAAUACCGCAUAAACUGGCAAUUCGUUGGAAUCGUCAGCAAAGGGCCGAGUAAUCGGUCCGCUGGAGGAGGGGGCUGCGGCCUAUCAGCUUGUUGGCGGGGUAAUGGCCCACCAAGGCGAUGACGGGUAGCUGGUCUGAGAGGAUGUCCAGCCACACGGGCACUGAGACACGGGCCUGACUCCUACGGGAGGCAGCAGCAGGGAAUUUUGGGCAAUGGGCGAAAGCCUGACCCAGCAACGCCGCGUGGGGGAUGACAGCCUUCGGGUUGUAAACCCCUUUUCCUGGGGAAGAGCAAGGACGGUACCCAGGGAAUAAGCCUCGGCCAACUACGUGCCAGCAGCCGCGGUAAUACGUAGGAGGCAAGCGCUACCCGGAUUUACUGGGCGUAAAGGGGAAGUAGGCGGUUCUUUAAGUCCAGGGUGAAAGCUUCCGGCUUAACCGGAAGUGGUCUCUGGAUACUGGAGGGCUUGAGGGCAGCAGAGGGAGAUGGAAUUCCCGGUGUAGCGGUGAAAUGCGUAGAUAUCGGGAGGAACACCAGUGGCGAAGGCGGUCUCCUGGGCUGUUCCUGACGCUGAGGUCCGAAAGCGUGGGGAGCAAACCGGAUCAGAUACCCGGGUAGUCCACGCCCUAAACUAUGGACACUAGGUCUGGGGGGUAUCGACCCUCUCCGGGCCGUAGCUAACGCUUUAAGUGUCCCGCCUGGGGAGUACGGCCGCAAGGCUAAAACUCAAAGGAAUUGACGGGGACCUGCACAAGCAGCGGAGCGUGUGGUUUAAUUCGAUGCUAAACGCAGAACCUUACCAGGGCUUGACAUGUCGGAGGUAGAAACCCGAAAGGGCGACGAACCGUAAAGGCGGUAGCCGACACAGGUGCUGCAUGGCUGUCGUCAGUUCGUGCCGUGAGGUGUUGGGUUAAGUCCCGCAACGAGCGCAACCCUCGCCGUUAGUUGUUUUCUCUAACGGGACUGCCAGGCAAAACCUGGAGGAAGGUGAGGAUGACGUCAAGUCAGCACGGCCCUUAUGUCCUGGGCUACACACACGCUACAAUGGACGGUACAACGGGAAGCCAAGGCGCAAGCACGAGCUAAUCCCUUAAAACCGUCCCCAGUUCGGAUUGCAGGCUGAAACCCGCCUGCAUGAAGUCGGAGUUGCUAGUAACCGCCGGUCAGCAUACGGUGGUGAAUACGUUCCCAGGUCCUGUACACACCGCCCGUCACGUCAUGGAAGCCGGCAACACCCGAAGUCGGUGAGCUAACCCGCAAGGGAGGCAACUGCCUAAGGUGGGGCUGGUAACCGGGACGAAGUCGUAACAAGGUA